UCUGGGUUCGAACUUAGGGAUGUCAAUAGGUAUGGAUACCCAAAAUUUUAUCCGAAUCCGAACCCGAAUGAAACGGAUAUGUCCGAUUGACAUGGAUAUGGAUUCGAAUAUGGAUAUAAAAAAUAGAAACCCGGCGGAUAUGGAUUCGGAUAUGAAUUUUGAUUGUAUUAUAUAUAAUAUAUAUAAAAAGUUGAUGUGAUAUUUGAAUUUGUAUUUUAAAAAUUUAGAUUUAAUAUAAUAUAUUUUGAAAUAUUGAAAAAAGAAAUAAGUGUUUCAGGUUCAAAUUUUCGGGUUCGGGUUUGAAUUCAGGUUUCGGAUUUUUGAUCGGGUUCGGGUUUGGAUAUGGAUUUUUAAAAUCCGUCGGGUUCGGGUUCUUGUCUCGGGUUUGGAGUCGGGUUCGGGUUCGGAUUUUUAAAAAUCCGCCCCGAAUCCGACCCGUUGACAUCUCUAUUCGAA
rnacentral:lncRNA from 1 species